rnacentral:rRNA from 1 species
UACGGAGGAUGCGAGCGUUAUCCGGAUUUAUUGGGUUUAAAGGGUGCGUAGGCGGACUGUCAAGUCAGCGGUAAAAUUGAGAGGCUCAACCUCUUCCCGCCGUUGAAACUGGUGGUCUUGAGUGGAUGAGAAGUACGCGGAAUGCGUGGUGUAGCGGUGAAAUGCAUAGAUAUCACGCAGAACUCCGAUUGCGAAGGCAGCGUACCGGCAUCCAACUGACGCUGAGGCACGUAAGCGUGGGGAUCAAACAGG